rnacentral:rRNA from 1 species
AUUGAACGCUGGCGGCAGGCCUAACACAUGCAAGUCGAACGAGUGGCGGACGGGUGAGUAAUGUCUGGGAAACUGCCUGCUGGAGGGGGAUAACUACUGGAAACGGUACCUAAUACCGCAUACCAUCAGAUGUGCCCAGAUGGGAUUAGCUAGUUGGUGGGGUACUGGCUCACCAAGGCGACGAUCCCUAGCUGGUCUGAGGGGAUGACCAGCCACACGGGAACUGAGGCACGGGCAAGAGUCCUACGGGAGGAAGCGGUGGAGAAGAUUGCGCAAUGGGAGCAAGCCUGAUGGAGCGAUGCCGCGUGUAUGAAGAAGGCCUUCGGGUUGUAAAGUACUAUCAGCGGGGAGGCGUUACCCGCAGAAGAAGCACCGGCUAACUCCGUGCCAGCAGCCGCGGUAAUUC